rnacentral:misc_RNA from 1 species
GGGUUACCCAGCUGAGGAUUUUGUGCCGCGGCUGCCGGGGCAGCCGGAUGUAGGGUUCCGGCAGUAUGCUGGCUAUGUCACGGUUGAUGAGAAGGCUGGGAGGAGCUUGUUUUAUUACUUCACUGAGGCUGAUGGAGACGCCGACAAGAAGCCUCUUACCCUCUGGCUCAACGGAGGCCCUGGUUGCUCUUCAGUUGGAGGCGGGGCAUUCACUGAAUUGGGUCCGUUUUAUCCCAGAGGCGAUGCUCGUGGCCUUCGAUUAAACAAGAAGUCAUGGAACAAAGUAUCAAAUCUCCUUUUCGUUGAAUCCCCUGCUGGAG